rnacentral:rRNA from 1 species
AUUGAACGCUGGCGGCAUGCCUUACACAUGCCAGUCGAACGGCAGCACGGGUGCUUGCACCUGGUGGCGAGUGGCGAACGGGUGCGUAAUAUAUCGGAACGCACCUUCUUGUGGGGGAUAACGCAGCGAAGGCUGUGCUAAUACCGCAUAAUCCCUAAGGGGGAAAGCGGGGGACCGUAAGGCCUCGCGCAAUUAGAGCGGCCGAUACCUGGUUAGCUAGUUGGUGAGGUAAAAGCUCACCAAGGCAACGAUCAGUAGCUGGUCUGAGAGGACGAUCAGCCACACUGGGACUGAGACACGGCCCACACUCCUCCGGGAUGCAGCAGUGAGGAAGUUUGGACAAUGGAGGCAACCCUGAUCCAGCAAUGCCGCCUAAGUGAAGGAGGCCUUCGGGUUGUAAAGCUCUGUUGUCAGGGAAGAAACGGGAGCUCUAACACAGUUUUCGUAUGACGGUACCUGAAGAAUAAGCACCGGCUAACUACGUGCCAGCAGCCGCGGUAA